rnacentral:rRNA from 1 species
CGGUGAUGGAUAGGGAUGCGUUCCAUUAGUUUGUUGGCGGGGUAACGGCCCACCAAGACAUCGAUGGAUAGGGGUUCUGAGAGGAAGGUCCCCCACAUUGGAACUGAGACACGGUCCAAACUCCUACGGGAGGCAGCAGUGAGGAAUAUUGGUCAAUGGACGAGAGUCUGAACCAGCCAAGUAGCGUGAAGGAUGACUGCCCUAUGGGUUGUAAACUUCUUUUAUAUGGGAAUAAAGUGAGCCACGUGUGGCUUUUUGUAUGUACCAUACGAAUAAGGAUCGGCUAACUCCGUGCCAGCAGCCGCGGUAAUACGGAGGAUCCGAGCGUUAUCCGGAUUUAUUGGGUUUAAAGGGAGCGUAGGCGGAUUAUUAAGUCAGUUGUGAAAGUUUGCGGCUCAACCGUAAAAUUGCAGUUGAUACUGGUAGUCUUGAGUGCAGCAGAGGUAGGCGGAAUUCGUGGUGUAGCGGUGAAAUGCUUAGAUAUCACGAAGAACUCCGAUUGCGAAGGCAGCUUACUGGACUGUAACUGACGCUGAUGCUCGAAAGUGUGGGUAUCAAACAGGAUUAGAUACCCUGGUAGUCCACACAGUAAACGAUGAAUACUCGCUGUUUGCGAUAUACAGCAAGCGGCCAAGCGAAAGCAUUAAGUAUUCCACCUGGGGAGUACGCCGGCAACGGUGAAACUCAAAGGAAUUGACGGGGGUCCGCACAAGCGGAGGAACAUGUGGUUUAAUUCGAUGAUACGCGAGGAACCUUACCCGGGCUUAAAUUGCAACUGACGGAUUUGGAAACAGAUCUUCCUUCGGGCAGUUGUGAAGGUGCUGCAUGGUUGUCGUCAGCUCGUGCCGUGAGGUGUCGGCUUAAGUGCCAUAACGAGCGCAACCCUUAUCUUUAGUUACUAACAGGUCAUGCUGAGGACUCUAGAGAGACUGCCGUCGUAAGAUGUGAGGAAGGUGGGGAUGACGUCAAAUCAGCAUGGCCCUUACGUCCGGGGCUACACACGUGUUACAAUGGGGGGUACAGAAGGCAGCUACACAGCGAUGUGAUGCUAAUCCCAAAAGCCUCUCUCAGUUCGGAUUGGAGUCUGCAACCCGACUCCAUGAAGCUGGAUUCGCUAGUAAUCGCGCAUCAGCCACGGCGCGGUGGAUACGUUCCCGGGCCUUGUACACACCGCCCGUCAAGCCAUGAAAGCCGGGGGUACCUGAAGUGCGUAACCGCAAGGAGCGUCCUAGGGUAAAACUGGUAAUUGGGGCUAAGUCGUAACAAGGUA